AAAAUCGGCAUUGUAUCAAAUACUUGUUCUCCCCACAGUAUGUAUGUCACUGUUGGACUUAUGAAACAGCCUCCUCUGAGGUAACUACACAAACAUUCUAAAAGGUACAUUCCCAUUGGUCUUGUCCAUCAGCCUGUUCUCUAGCCUGGGGACAAGGUUACAUUCCCAUUGGUCUUGUCCAUCAGCUGGUUCUCUAGCCUGGGGACAAGGUUACAUUCCCAUUGGUCUUGUCCAUCAGCCGGUUCUCUAGCCUGGGGACAAGGUUACAUUCCCAUUGGUCUUGUCCAUCAGCCGGUUCUCUAGCCUGGGGACAAGGUUACAUUCCCAUUGGUCUUGUCCAUCAGCCGGUUCUCUAGCCUGGGGACAAGGUUACAUUCCCAUUCGUGAGCAAGACAUUUUGUAUUUAUUUUUAAGCUACCAGCCAAGGCGGGCUAUGUGCAUGUUGAUGCCCUGCUCCAAAAAGCACAUUUACAUUUUUGUAUGGGUGCUGAUGGUCUUAUUUUCACACGAUUCCUGACUCGCACUCGGCUUGCAUGCAUAAAGGACGUUAGUUUCGGACCUGUAUGCAGCCCUCAAGGAGGAAUAUGAGGUUGCACACAAAACGGGGUGAAGGCCAGGGGAGAACAAUUUGAAGUAUUUUCUGUGCAUGGAUGAAUACUGUAUUUUAAAAAGAUGGAAGAUCUAAAUAUAUAUAUGUAGCUCUAGUCUUAGCUAAUAGUACUUUUUUUUCUUACGUUUGUAUAUUAGGCAUGUUUUGUAUAAAAUGAAUAUAUACUGAGAUGUUUAUGAUUUUUUUUAAAUGGCAUUUUAAAUGUUGAAAUUUGGUAUGUUGCAUUAAAAACUAUUAAAGUCAUGUUUUGUGGUGUU